rnacentral:sRNA from 1 species
UUACAUUAAUUAUUUAAUAGACACAUGACAAAUACUAAAGUGAUGAUGUAGCAAUCAUAUGGUUAGAGUUGACCAACUUUCAUAUAUAUGAUUAAUAAAGCUGUAUUAUGCCCCUGUUAAGACCAAUCAAAUUGU